AGGCAUAUCCUGAUCAUCAUCUCUACUAGAACAGCAAGAGAAGGGAAUGAAUAGAGGGAUACAAGUGAAAUAAGAUGGAAGAGAAAGGGGAAUAAAGAGAAGAAAUGAGAAAAAUCUUUUUGCGAGGACACCUAAUGUAAUCGAACUCAUAGAAGAAGAGUAUAUAUUGGUGGUUUCCAGGAGCUGAGAGAAAGCAAUGCAGAGCUGUUGUUCAAUGGGUAUGAAGUUUCAUUUAUGCAAGAUGAAUAAGUACUAGAGUUCUUCCAUACAACAUAAUUUCUAAAGUUAACAAUGUUGUAUUGUGCACUUAAAGAAGUUGUUGAGAGGGUAGAUCUCAUAUUGUGUUCUUAACACACACACACACAGACAAAACAACAGCAAUCAAGAAAACAAAGGAGCCUGAGGAAACUUUUGGAGGCGAUGGGUAUGUUUAUAUCCUUGACUGUGGUGAUGGUUU